rnacentral:rRNA from 1 species
CAGCCGCCGCGGGAAUACAGAGGGUGCGAGCGUUAAUCGGAUUUACUGGGCGUAAAGCGUGCGUAGGCGGCUUCUUAAGUCGGAUGUGAAAUCCCUGAGCUUAACUUAGGAAUUGCAUUCGAUACUGGGAAGCUAGAGUAUGGGAGAGGAUGGUAGAAUUACAGGUGUAGCGGUGAAAUGCGUAGAGAUCUGGAGGAAUACCGAUGGCGAAGGCAGCCAUCUGGCCUAAUACUGACGCUGAGGUACGAAAGCAUGGGGAGCAAACAGGAUUAGAUACCCGAGUAGUCCCUGUCUCUUAUAC